rnacentral:rRNA from 1 species
GAACGAACGCUGGCGGCAGGCUUAACACAUGCAAGUCGAGCGCCUCGCAAGAGGAGCGGCAGACGGGUGAGUAACGCGUGGGAAUCUACCCAUCUCUACGGAAAAACUCCGGGAAACUGGAGCUAAUACCGUAUACGUCCUUCGGGAGAAAGAUUUAUCGGAGAUGGAUGAGCCCGCGUUGGAUUAGCUAGUUGGUGGGGUAAUGGCCUACCAAGGCGACGAUACAUAGCUGGUCUGAGAAGGAUGAUCAGACCACACUGGGACUGAGACACGGCCCAGACUCCUACGGGAGGCAGCAGUGGG